CAAUAGCGUAUAUUAAAGUUGUUGCAGUUAAAACGCUCGUAGUCGGAUUUCGGGGCGGGCCUGCCGGUCUGCCGUUCGGUACGUACUGGCGGGCGCGUCCUUCCUUUCGGAGACCGCGCCUCCUCUUAACUGAGCGGGCGCGGGAGACGGAUCGUUUACUUUGAAAAAAUCAGAGUGUUUCAAGCAGGCAGCUCGCUCUUGCAUGGAUUAGCAUGGGAUAAUGAAAUAGGACUCUGGUGCUAUUUUGUUGGUUUCGAACACCGGAGUAAUGGUCAACAGGGACAGUCAGGGGCACUCGUAUUCCGCCGAGAGAGGUGAAAUUCUCAGACCAGCGGAAGACGAACCACUGCGAAAGCAUUUGCCAGGGAUGUUUUCACUGA
rnacentral:rRNA from 1 species